rnacentral:rRNA from 1 species
AUGGCCGUUCGACAUGAAAUGCCAAUGAAAAGUUAUUUCUCUAAGGGCGGCCAGUUGAUUGGUGAGCCCAUAAAUUGCUGUCUAUGGUUGUCUCUAGGUGGCAAAAAUGAUUUCCCCGAGCUAGCAUCAUUGUUGGACAGAGUUGGAGACCGAGUUGAAGCAGAACUAUGUAGCAGAGCUAUGCAUGUCAUCAGUCACCAUGUCGCAAAUACGUUGCCUAAUGCAUCGGAGGCUCAUGUUAGACUUGGCCAUUUUCUCCCAAAAAAAUUCAAUCAGACGGUUGUACUACAGAAUUUGCACUGCUUACAAGCAAGGAUUGACCUUCACGUCCGUCCAUGCAUGUUAACUUAG